UGGGGAAUUUUGGACAAUGGGGCAACCCUGAUCCAGCAAUGCCGCGUGUGUGAAGAAGGCCUUCGGGUUGUAAAGCACUUUUGUCCGGAAAGAAAACGCCGUGGUUAAUACCCGUGGCGGAUGACGGUACCGGAAGAAUAAGCACCGGCUAACUACGUGCCAGCAGCCGCGGUAAUACGUAGGGUGCAAGCGUUAAUCGGAAUUACUGGGCGUAAAGCGUGCGCAGGCGGUCCGCUAAGACAGAUGUAAAAUCCCCGGGCUUAACCUGGGAACUGCAUUUGUGACUGGCGGGCUAGAGUAUGGCAGAGGGGGGUAGAAUUCCACGUGUAGCAGUGAAAUGCGUAGAGAUGUGGAGGAAUACCGAUGGCGAAGGCAGCCCCCUGGGCCAAUACUGACGCUCAUGCAAGAACGCAGUGGGGAGCAAACAGGAUUAGAUACCCUGGUAGUCCACGCCCUAAACGAUGUCAACUAGUUGUCGGGUCUUCAUUGACUUGGUAACGUAGCUAACGCGUGAAGUUGACCGCCUGGGGAGUACGGUCGCAAGAUU
rnacentral:rRNA from 1 species